rnacentral:rRNA from 1 species
UACGAAGGUGGCAAGCGUUGUUCGGAUUUACUGGGCGUACAGGGAGCGUAGGCGGUUGGAUAAGCCCUCCGUGAAAUCUCCAGGCUUAACCUGGAAAGUGCAGAGGGGACUGUUCAGCUAGAGGAUGGGAGAGGAGCGCGGAAUUCCCGGUGUAGCGGUGAAAUGCGUAGAUAUCGUUUGGAACGCCAACGGUGAAAACAGACAGCUGGGAGUGUGCUGACGCUGAGACACGAAAGCCAGGGGAGCGAACGGG